GCCCGCCUAGCUCAGUUGGUAGAGCGCAAGGCUCUUAACCUUUUUGUCCUGGGUUCGAGCCUUAGGGUGGGUG
rnacentral:tRNA from 1 species